UACAGAGGGUGCGAGCGUUGUUCGGAAUUAUUGGGCGUAAAGGGCGCGUAGGCGGUUUGUCGCGUCUGCUGUGAAAUCCCGAGGCUCAACCUCGGGCUUGCAGUGGGUACGGGCAGACUAGAGUCCGGAAGAGGAGAGUGGAAUUCCCGGUGUAGCGGUGAAAUGCGCAGAUAUCGGGAAGAACACCCGUGGCGAAGGCGGCUCUCUGGGACGGUACUGACGCUGAGACGCGAAAGCGUGGGGAGCGAACAGG
rnacentral:rRNA from 1 species